AAUAGACACGUAGUUGUUUGUUAUUGUAUAAUUUGGCUUGGGACUCGAACUUAGUCCUCUCAGCCAUCGAGACCACUCCAAAGUCGAAAGCACAUUGGUUCGCUCAAACCCAAAUAUUGCUUGAGCUUAAGUACAUCAAAUUCCAUACUCCAUUCCUUUAAUAUAGGCAUUCACCACGGCCAUAAAUUUUGAAAAAAAGAAUAUAAAGAAACUCACUUGCAGCCACCUUUGGUUGUAG
rnacentral:misc_RNA from 1 species